AUUGAACGCUGGCGGCAGGCCUAACACAUGCAAGUCGAGCGGAGCGGCGGACGGGUGAGUAAGGACUAGGAAUCUGACUGGUCGAGGGGGAUAACGUCCGGUAACGGACGCUGAUACCGCAUCCUAUCAGAUGAGCCUAGGUCGGAUUAGCUAGUUGGUUGGGUAAAGGCCUACCAAGGCGACGAUCCGUAACUGGUCUGAGAGGGUGAUCAGUCACACUGGAACUGAGACACGGUCCAGACUCCUACGGUAGGCAGCAGUGGGGAAUAUUGCACAAUGGGCGAAAGCCUGAUCCAGCCAUGCCGCAUGUGUGAAGAAGGUCUUCGGAUUGUAAAGCACUUUAAGUUGGGAGGCGUUACCUACAGAAUAAGCACCGGCUAACUUCGUGCCAGCAGCCGCGGUAAUUC
rnacentral:rRNA from 1 species